GGGGCAGUAGCUCAGAUGGUAGAGCAACAAGAUUACUUUUGGCUUAAGGCAAACAAAGUUCCUAUAAAUCAAAUAUUUGUGUGUCACAGGUUCGAGCCCUGUCUGCUCCU
rnacentral:tRNA from 1 species